GGCAAAACGUCCGCCCGGGCCCGAGGCGGGCGGAGGCAGCUGUGGUUACGUGCGGGGGGCCGGUGACGCAGUCGCGGGGCGCUGGGACGCGGCUUGCGGAGCCGGCCGGCGAGCGCAGGCCCCAGGCUCGGGCGCGGCGGCGGGACAGCACCUACCUUCCCGGCUUCGGGUCCGGGAGUGCGGGGCGCGGAGCCGCCGGAGCGCUGCCUCCCUCCUUCCUCCUCCCCUCGCCCCCGCCCCGCGGCGCGACACACAAUACUCGCCGGAAGCGGAAGCCGCGCCGAGGCUCGUGUCAGUGGAAGCUGGGGUGUCGGCGGGCGGCCGCGGCCGGGUCUAGCGGUGCCUGCGGAAGAAGGAGGAGGAGGGCUGGCGAUGAGAAGCAGCAGGGGGAAUCAAGGGCAAGAAGGGACCCAGAGGGGCAGGUGGCUGAGAUGCUGGCGUCCAGGUGACCCGAGGAAUCCUCUGGAGAUACAGGCCCGCGCAUGCGCGUGCUCGAGCGCUGAAGCCCAUUGCCCGCAGGGCGCUGGACUGGCGCCCCGGCCGGCGAGGCUGUCUAGUCCAGGCUCCAGGCCCCGGCUCUGGCCAGGCGCCGCCGCCUCCCGGUGCAGCUGAAAGUCGACGAAGAGGGCGGGGCGGGGGCGGCUUGUGGACUUCCACACUUUUCCUCUCUUCGGGCCAGUCUGGGGAGAGGGUGGCUAGCUGUGGCGGCGGCCAAUUACGUGGCGGACCUGCGGGGCUAAGCUGGCACGUCACUUCCGACUAGUGGAGUUUUUAGCCUUUUAACAUUCAAGGAUUAGGUAAGUUCUCCCCGCGGUAGACUUCAAAUACUCUUUGUCCUGCCCCUGCUUGGCGAAAUUUACCGAAAUUAUCUACCUAUCCCGCUGGAGUGGGAGCCGGGGGAGAGCUGGAACCGCGUCUCUGCUGCUCACCUUUGUGUCCUUAGCUCCUUCGCAUGGGGUCCGACCGCAACACGUGCGCUGGAUAAACGCUUGUUAACUGGGUGAGAGCCAAGGCCUGUUCUUUCCACUUCUGGGGCUGUGACUUGAGUUUCUCCGCAGGAGCAGAUAGUGUUUGUGUAGGGACUGCGGACUUUUGCAUUACAGCCUCCCUGCUUUGCCCGCCUGCUGCUGGAAGCUUAGCAGGUAAAAGUCUUGCAGUGAAAAACCCGAGGACCCUUACCGCAAGUGUCUUUUGCUCCCAGCUACUGAUACUGGAUUCCACUCGUGAUUCUCCCUUUCUUAGCGCAUUCAUGAUAUAGACAUCAGUCUCUGAGCUGGAGGAGGACAAAGGCAGCGGUCCUGUGAAUUCUAUGCUCUAGCUUGGGUUAAGGGAUUUGGAAUUGCACUUGUUUCAGAGAGCUCCCUCUUUGCCCACUAGCAGGGCAUUAGCUGGUGCUGAAGACAGUGGCUGCUUGGCGAGCCUGGAUCUCCAAGUGACCCCCUCAGCAACUCCUGAUGAACAGGACUGAAGCCAAUAUUAAAGCAAGUCAACCAAAGGUUCUCUGGUGUAGACAAGACAGCAAAAGGACAGACUACCUUGUGGAACCUAGCAUUGUUCUCCUUCUGCAGCACUAAGUAACAUUUGUUCUCCGUUAAGAUCUUUGCAAACCACACACAAGAAUUGCUGGUCAUCCUGCCAAUAGAUGCUGCUCACAGAACCAAAUUUCCUGUGCUGAAUUGUCACUCAUGGGCUUGAGAGUAGGAGACUGGAGACCAAGGUGGCUAGAAUCCAGUUGGGCCUGAUGUCUCCCUGUUGAAAGGGCUCCUUGUGGAAUGAAUAGCACAUGGCUCCUGUGGUGGAUCUGAUAGUGGCAUAGCACCAAGUGAUGCAGGCCUGCCAGGGGCCACAGACACAGAAGAUGCUCCCGGGGUCCCCCAUGUACUCCAGACACACUGCAGGCCACCUCUCCCAGCAGGUUGCCAGUCAUGGGCCCCAUCAUCAUGACUUCUGUCCAAGGUACUGUGUGCAGAAAUGUGAUUGAGAUUCAAGUCAGGGCCUCUCUGCCCUUUUCCCUCCAGAAACAAAACCAAGAUAAUUUAUCCUGAACACGGUGAAAAAAGGAAGGGAGGGAGGAGAAAAAGUCCGGGUCUCACCUGGGAUUCUCUGUCUCCUGCAACAUGAAGGAUUUAGCCUGGGAGGAGGUGGUGAGAACUCUGGGAGAGAAAAAAGAAGGAAAGAAUAGUUUUACCCAUGCUGAAGUUAAUUUAAACCUUCACCUAGAGAAGCAAAAAAAAAAAACCCACACUUUCCCAUUUUGUGCCUCCCUUCCUAGAGUUUUAGCCAAAGGUUUAGCUAAGUAAUUGGUUUUACCAGCGCACUCACUCCUCCUAUCCCAAGUCUGUUUGACUCCCUCCCCAUCAUCCUCCUCACCUCUUUUCAGGCAGGGUGGGGAUAGCAGCAGGAGGAGAUUUUGGGAGCCUGGCAACUCCUGCAAGGACCGCAGGACAGCCCCUCUGUGGGGAUGCGUGGUGCCCCAUCUGCCGCCCUUCUGAAGAAUGCACUGCCUUCACUUUUUACUGUGUUAGAGUCCAUCCAGACUGUUCUAUCCAAAAAAGUUUCUUUUUCCCCCACAGGCAAUCAGGAAAUGAUUCCUUUCCCGACUGCUUCUGUCUAGUGCCUGGGAAUCUUGAGUCAAUCCCUCAGUAAGUCAGUGACUAGGGAAAUCCCUCUCUGAGCCUCCCAGUUCAUGUUGCUUAGGGAACCUGAUAUUUUCGUGAAACCUGCCUACACAUGGGCAGCCCAACAGCAGAACAAAUGGUGGUGACCAAAGUGAACAAAGAAGUAUAGUUGUGCCAGCUUCGUAGUUGCCCAUGUGGACAAGUCAGCAGGAUCAGGACACGAGGAAGAGUAAAUGUGAGACAGUCAAUGUGACUUCUGCGAUAAACAGAUUUUUAAACCCCGAAAUUUUGCAAAAUUUUGGUGAAACCUGAACUUUCUUCGUUGCAUAUACUGGCACUAUCUGUACCAUCAUACAACUGUCUCACAUUAAAGCUAUUUUUCUUGGGCACUGAUGAGUAAGGUUGGUAUAAGUUCCUCAGAUCAACAAAAACCCAUUUUCCUGUAAGUCUUACAUUUAGUAUUUAAGGAACUAAAACUUAAAUACAUUUUGUGAAAUGGUUGACACUUCACUGAUAAUGAUUUAUUGCUUGGAUUAAUAAAUUUUCCAAAAGUUGUCUUAUGUAGAAUAUGGUUUGCAACCAGCAGAACCAUUAAUCUAUACUGCAAUGAUAUGCACUAUGUAUAAUUGUUUAAAAGCCUCUACUUAAUGAUGUAAAAUGCUCUAUUUAAUUACACAUUUGGGUAAACUGUAUACUAACAUCUGAUGGCAUUUUUCCACUGUUUGUUGCUUUUUUCAAAUACUUUAUUGUACAAAGCUGUUCUUAAUAUUUUUCAAGUUUUUUUCUUUGAAUUUUGCUAAUGUUUUCCUUGAAUUAUGAGCACUGACAGAAUGUGCUUAGCACUUUUGGCUAUUCACACAGCUUUUGAGCAUGAUUUGCAUCCAAUAUUUACAUUGCUAGCAAUAAUAAGCCAUCUGUGAGUUUUGUCAAAAGUUAUUGGGGAUUUUUUAAAUUUUAGAAAUGCAAAUUAUUGUUUCUUUGAACUAACUCUUAUGCAGUUGCAAAGGCAUUUCCAGUUGUUAUAGUUUGUGUACAAUAUCAGGUGUUCCAGAUUAUGAUUCAUUAUUAAUAUCAUUGCUUCCUUGUUCCCUCUGAGGUCCAGAAGAUUCAUGUUUACAAUAUUUAGAAACAAUGUUAAAAAGGUAUCCAAAGUUUGUCACUUUAUUAUUAGUUUGUUCUUAAUAUUCUGUUUAAGUUUUUGAAUUCAUAGAUAUCAAAACGCUGCACAAUUAUGAUUUCCACAGGAAUAACAACACACUAACAAUAAGAACCAAAAACAGCAAAUAGGCUGCCUACAAGUUUUGACAAUAUUAGGAUAAUGAUAAUGACAGUUUUUCUAAAUCUCACAGUAAAGAAUGCAGCAACCCAGCAACACUGCUACCUGUGGCCUCAGGCUGCAGUGUCAGCUCUUCCCUGGGUCUCCAGCCUGCCAGUCUAACCUGAAAAUUAUGUACUUGCCAGCCCCCACAGUCACGUGAGUGAACUGGCCCAGGCUGGUCACCAGGGUCAGUUUCUCUGUGUGUCAUUAAUUCAUUCAGUCUUCAGCAGUCUCUUUGGAGCUGAGAUGUACCUACCAUCUGCCUUUUGGGUGCUUAGGGUGGAGAACCAGAAAAGUAUAACCUAGUGUGUAUCCUCAAAGAGCUAACAAUAUGGGGUGGUACCUAUAGGUCUGGAAACACUUUACUGACUCUGUGAGGCAUACCAGGAGACGUCAGAGAACAGUCCCUCCUCAAAUGCCAAAUGAGAUGCAGAAGAAAUAGUUUGCUCAAGUUCAUGGGCCAGAUAUCCCAGUGGUCAGGGAGUUUCAUGAAUGAGAUGGAACUUUGCAUGGAACCCGAGGGAUGUGUAUGAUUUGAGUAGAUGAAGAAAAUGAGACUUUCCAAGCAGCUAGAAGUUAGGGAGCAGCAAGAUGUGUGGUGGGAUUGAGCACAGUUGGUUCAGAGGAUAGACUGCAGUUUUAAUAAUUUGUAGUAAAUAUCUCCCAACUGUUUGGCACUAUUGGAGCAAGUUCUUGAAUGCCAAAUGAAGGCAUAAAUCAGUAAGAGGCAUAAUAAAAGGCUGAGCAGUGCUUGGCUUUUUACGAACUGAUCCUGAUAGGAGCAGCUGUUCAACAAAGUUGCCAGGUCACCGUUACAUAGUCCCUGCCUUCUAGGGGCUCACUGCCUACUGGGAGAGACAGUCUGAAAGUUGGUGGAGCAUGUAACUGUUGGAUGAGGAGUUUGAGCCUGUGGACUGUGGGACCCCCGAGGAGGGUGUGGCUACUCUAGGCAGAACAAUCCCACAGUUUAUUUAUAUUUAACCUUGAAAUUCAUUAGAGGAUUUUUCAGCAGAGGUUUGGUACUUGUUAAUGUUAAGGUUUGCAUUCUCUAGAACCUCAAGGAAAGCUGUACCGUGCAUAAUGUACCCUCUUAUGUUAAUGUUGUGUACUGUGAUCCUGUUUCAGGGACUUGCACUUAGGAAUCUGUUACAGUGAGCACAGAAGCAGACCUGUGGGCUCAUAGUCUUCACCCCCCACCCAUAUAUACAAGAUGAACAGAGUGGAGGUUAAACAACUUGACUAAACAACACAGUUCAUGGUAAAGCCCAAGACUGUACCUGCCCAUCCACUGCCUUUUCCAUGUAUCCUGGAACUGAGCAUAGACCUCUUCCCAGGCAGAGCUGACAGCAAGUAAAGGAGAUCAUAAUCAGGGGACCAAACAACUUUGUCUAAAGUGUGAAUGUCACCUAAGGAGAAGCUGUGAGAUCAGAAGGGUGGGGCAGAGGAGCAGACACCAUGAGGGAGAGUCCUUGGGGGUACAUCUGCCAGACUGACACUGUCUGGCCUGGGCAGUGGAGGGGCUAGCAGGAACCACAGGUACUGGUGGUGUGGCUACUACCGUUACAACUGCCUGUGCUUGGACAUGGACCCUCUGCAAUAUGCGGCAGUUUCAUUCAUUGCCCCCUACAUUCUACACCAAGUAGAAAUGGAAGGCAAUUGGAUACUUCACAGACAAGAUCUAAGUGGAGAAGGAAUGCGUCCUGUGGCUGCAGAGAUCCUUGGAGCUUGGAGGGGAGAGCUUGAGCCCCACUGAUGAUGACCUCCCACAGCUCGCCAACUCAGCCCUCCCUAAGUCCCCAUCGGGGGCCAAUUCUCACUCUGGGGUUGGGGGGACUCCACCAUAGCUCAUCCAUCAUAGGGAUGUUGGUAUCUACUGUGGGUUGGGUAGGGCCGAUGUGCUGAGGAUGGCUCCCCCACAAGCAAGAGAUGUGGAUUUGGGGAGCUUCCCAUCUUGUGUUGAAGGAACAUAACUCAGAAUAAUAAGAGCCAACUAUAACAAACCCACAGCCAACAUCAUACUGAAUGGGCAAAAGCUGCAGGCAUUCCCCUUGAAAAGUGGCACAGGAUAAGGAAGCCCUUUCUCACCACUCCUAUUCAAUAUAGUGUUGAAAGUCCUGAUCACAGCAGUCAGGCAACAGAAAUAAUAAAGGGCAUCCAAAUAGGAAGAGAGGAAGUCAAACUAUCCUUGUUUGCAGACAGUAUGAUUCUAUAUCUAGAAAACCCCAUAGCCUCAGCCCAAAAGGUCCUUCAUCUGAUAAUUUCAGCAAAGUUUCAGGAGACAAAAUCAGUGUACAAAAAUCACUAACAUUCCUAUACACAGUCGCCAAGCCAAGAGCCAAAUCAGGAGCACAAUCCCAUUCAUAAUUGCCACAAAAAAGAAUAAAAUACCCAGGAAUGCAGCUAACCAAGGAAGUAAAGGAUCUCUACAAUGAGAAUCACAAACGCUGCUCAAAGAAAUCAGAGAUGACACAAACAAAUGGAAAAACUUUCCAUGCUCAUGGCUAGGAAGAAUCAAUAUCAUUAAAGUGGCCAUACUACCCAAAGCAAUUUAUAGAUUCAAUGCUAUUCCUAUCAAACUAUCAAUUACAUUUUUCACAGAACUAGAAAAAACUUAAAAUUCAUAUGGAACCAAAAAGCCUGAGUAGUCAAGGCAAUCCUAAACAAAAAGAACAAAGGUGGAGGCAUCACAUUACCUAACUUCAAACUACAGGGCUACCAUGACCAAAACAGCAUGGUACUGGUACAAAAGCAGACACACAGACCAGUGGGACAGAAUAGAGAGCCCAAAAAUAAGGCCACAAACCUACAGCCAUCUGAUCUUCAACAAAGUUGACAAAAACAAGCAAUGGGGAAAGGUCUCCCUAUUCAAUAAAUGGUGCUGGGAUAACUGGCUGGCCAUAUGCAGAAGAUCGUAACUGGACCCCUUUUACUAUGUACAAAAAUUAAGAUGGUUUAAAGAGUUAAAACCCAAAAUUAUAAAAAUCCUGAAGAUAACUUAGGCAAUACCAUUCUGGACAUAGGAACUGGCAAAUAUUUCAUGAUGAAGACACCAAAAGCAAUUGUAACAAAAGCAAAAAUGGACAAAUUGGAUUUAAGAGCUUUUUCAUAGCAAAAUAAACAACAGGGCAGACAAUCUACCAAAUGACAGAAAAUUUUUGCAAACUAUGCAUCUGACAAGGGGCUAAUAUCUAGCAUCUAUAAGGAAUUUAAACACAGUUACAGGAAAAAAAAAACCCACUCCAUUAAAAAAUGGGCAAAGGACAUGAACAGACACUUUUCAAAAAAGACAUACAUACAGCCAACUAGCGUGUUAAAGAAAACCUCAAUUAUCACUGAUCAUUAGAGAAAUGCAAAAUCAAAACCAUGAUGAGAUAUCAUCUGCCAGUCAGGAUGGCUACAAAAAAGUAAAAAAAUAAUAGAUGUUGGUGAGGUUAUGGAGAAAAGGAACUUAUACACUUGUUAGGAGUGUAAAUUAGUUCAAUCACUGUGGACAGCAGUGUGGUGAUUCCUCAGAGAGCUAAAAACAACUACCAUUUGACUCACCAAUCCCAUUACUGGAUAUUUACCUAAAGGAAUAUAAAUCAUUCCACCAUAAAGACACAUGCAAGUGUAUGUUCAUUGCAGCACUAUUAACAGUAACAAAGCUGGGCACAGUGGCUCACCUCACGACUGUAAUCCCAGCACUUUGGGAGGCUGAGGUAGGCGGAUCACCUGAGGUCGGCAGUUUGAGACCAGCCUGACCAACAUGGAGAGACCCCAUCUCUACUAAAAAUACAAAAUUAGCCAGGUGUGGUGGCUCAUGCCUGUAAUCCCAGCUACUUGGGAGGCCAAGGCAGGAGAAUUGCUUGAACCCAGGAGGCAGAGGUUGCAGUGAGCCGAGAUCACACCAUUGCACUCUAGCCUGGUGAAGGAGCAAGACUCCAUCUCAAAAAAAAAAAAAAAAAAGAAAGAAAGAAAAAUACACAUUCAGAGGAGACAAAAAAUAAAAAACAAUGAUGCAUGCCCACAGGAUCUAGAAAAUAACUUCUUAAGGGCAAAUCUAGGAGUUAUUGGCCUUAAAGAAGAGAUAGAGAAAGAGAUAGGAAUAGAAAGUUUGUUGAAAGGGAUAAUAACAUAGAACUUCCUAAACCUACAGAAAGAUAUUUAUAUCCAAGUACAAGAAGGUUAUAGAACACCAGGCCAAUUUAACCCAAAGAUUACCUCAAGGCAUUUAAUAAUCAAACUCCCACAGGACAAGGGUAAAGAAAGGAUCCUAAAAGCAGCAAGAGAAAAGAAACAGAUAACAUACAAUGGAGCUCCAAUACAUCUGGCAGUAUAUUUUUCAGUGGAAACCUUACAAGCCAGGAGAGAGUGACAUGACAUAUGUUAAAGUGCUGAAGGGAAAAAACCUUUUACCCUAGAAUAGUAUAUCCAGCAAAAAUAUCCUUCAAACAUGAAGAAUAAACAAAGACUUCCCCAGACAAACAAAAGCUGAGGGAUUUCAUCAACACUAGACUGGUCCCAUAAGAAACGCUUAAGGGAGUACUUUGGUCAGAAAGAAACAGACAUUAAUGAGCAACAAAGAAUCAUCUAAAGGUAAAAAACUCACUGUUAAGAGUAAGUACACAGAAAAACCCAAAGUGUGAUAACAUUGUAACUGUGGUGUGUAAGUAGAAAGAAUAAAUGAUAAACCAAUCAAAAAUAGUAACUACAACUUUUCAAGACCAGUCAGAAAAAUAAGAUAAAAUUAGAAACAACAAAAAGUUAAAAAGUGGGGGGAUGAAGUUAAGAUGUAGAGUUUUUAUUAGUUUUUUGUUUGUUAAUGCAAACAGUGUUACCAGGUUAAAAUAAUGGGUUACAAAAUAGUAUUUGUAAUCCUUAUGGUAACCUCAAACCUAAAAACAUACACUGGAUACAUAAAAAAUAAAAAGCAAAAACCUAAAUCAUAUCACCAGAGCAAACUACCUUCCCUAAAGGAAGACAGGAAGAAAAGAAAGAAGAAGACCACAAAACAACCAGAAAACAAAUAAAUAACAAGGCAGGAGUAAGUCUUUACUUAUCGAUAAUACAUUGAAUGGAAAUAUGGACUAAACUCUCCAAUCAAAAGACAUAGACUGGCUGAAUGAAUGGAGAAAACAAGACCCAUUGAUCUGUUGCCUACAAGAAACACACUUAAACUAUAAAGACACACAUAGGCUGAAAGUAAAGAGUUGGAAAGAGUUAUUCCAUGCCAAUGGAAACCAGGAAAAAGAGAAGGAGUAUUGAUUUUGAUACAAAAACUAUGAGACAAAUAAAGUCACUAUACAAUGAUAAAGGGGUUAAUAUGGUUUCCAUUUGUGCCCCACCCAAAUUUCGUGUUCUAUUGUAAUCCUCAAUGUUGGAGGUGGGGCCUGGUGGGACGUGAUUAGAUCAUGGGGGUGGAUCUUUCAUGACUAAUUCAGCACCAUCUUCUUAGUGCUGUUCUCAUGAUAGUGAGUUCUUCUGAAAUCUGGUUGCUUAAAAGUGUGUAGCACCUCUCCACACCACCCGCUUGCCUUGGUCUACUCCUGCUAUGUAGAUGCUUGCUCCCACUUUGCAUUAUUCCAUGAGUAAAAGCUCCCUCAGGCCUUCCCAGAAUCAGAUGCCGCUAUGCUUCCUGAACAGCCUGUGGAACUAUGAGCCAAUUCAACCUCUUUUCUUCAUAAAUUAACAAGUCUUGGGUAUUUCUUUAUAGCAGUGUGAGAACAGAAUAAUACAGAAAAUUGGUAAAGAGGAGUGAGGCAUUGCUAGAAAGAUACCUGAAAAUGUGGAAACAGCAGUGGAACUGGGAAAUAGACAGAGGUUGGAAGAGUGUGGAGGGCUCCGAAGAUAGGAAGAUGAGGGGAAGUUUGGAAUUUCUUAGAGAUUUGUUAAAUUGUUUUGACCAAAAUACUGAUGGUGAUAUGGACAAUGAAGUCCAGGCUGAGGAGGUCUCAGAUGGAGAUGAGGGACUUAUUGGGACCUGGAGUGAAGGUCACUUUUGUUAGGACAUUGUGGUUGGAGACAUUGUGCCCCUGCCCUAGGAAUCUGUGGAACUUUGAACUUGAGAGCGAAGAUUUAGGGUAUCUGGCAGAAGAAAUUUCUAAGCAGCAAAGCGUUCAAGACGUGGCCUGGCUGCUUCUGGUAGUCUGUGCUCAUAUUUGUGAGCAAAGACAUGACAAGAAACUGGAACUUAUAUUUAAAAAGGAAGCAGAGUGUAAAAGUUUGGAGAAUUUGCAGCCUGGCCAUGUUGUAGAAAAGAAAAAAACCAUUUUCUGGAGAGGAAUUCAAGCUAGCUGCAGAAAAUUGCAAGUAACAAGGAGCAAAAUGUUGAUAGCCAAGAUAGUGGGAAAAACACCUUGAAGGCAUUUCAGAUACCUUGGGGGCAGCCUCUCCCAUCACAGGCCCAAAGGCCUAGGAGGGAAGGAUGGUUUCCUGGGCCAGGCUCAGGGUCCUGCUGCCCUGCACAACCUCAGGAAACUGCUCUCCAAAUCCCAGCUGCUCCAGCUCCAGCUUCAGCUCAAAGGGCCCCAGGUAUAGCUCAGGCUGCUGCUCCAUAGGAUGCAAGUUAUAAGCCUUAGUGGCUCCCGUGUGGUGUUAAAUUAAGCCUGUAGGUGCACAGAGUGCAAGAAUUGAGGCUUGGGAGCCUCCAACUAGAUUUCAGAGUAUGUGUGGGAAAGCCUGGAUGUCCAGGCAGAAGCCAGCUGCAGGGACAGAGCCCUCAUGGAGAACCUCUACUAGGGUAGUGUGGAGGGGAAAUUUGGGGUUGGAGUUCCCACACAGCUUCCCCUCUGGUGUACUGCCUAGUGGAGCUGUGAGAAGACAGCCACUGUCCUCCAGAUUCCAGGAUGAUAGAUCUGCCAAUGACAGCUUGCACUGUACAACUGGAAAAGCCACAGGCAGUCAAUGCCAGCCCGUGAAAGCAGUGACAGUGGCUUACCCUGCAAAGUCCCAGGGGCUGAGCUGCCCAAGGCCUUGGGAGCCCACCCCUUGCACCAGUGUGCCCUGGAUGUGAGAUAUGGAGUCAAAGGAGAGUAUUUUGGAGCUUUAAGAUUUAAUGACUACCUGCUGGGUUUCAGACUUGCAUGGGUCCAGUAGCCCCUUUCUUUUGGCCAAUUUCUCACUUUUGGAAUGGGAGUGUUUACCCAAUUCCUGUACCCCCACUGUAUGUUGGAAGUAACUAACUGUUUUUUUAUUUUGUAAGCUCACAGGUGGGAGAGACUUGCCUUGUCUCAGGUUGAGACUCUGGACUUUGGACUUUUGAAUUAAUGCUGGAAUGAGUUAAGACUUUGAGGGACUGUUGGGAAGAUAUAACUGUAUUUUGCAGUAUGAGAAGGACAUGAGAUUUGGGAGACACCAGAGGUGGAAUAAUAUGAUUUGGAUCUGCAUCCCCACCAAAAUCUCAUGUUCAAUUGUAAUCCUAAAUUUUGGAGGUUGAGCCUGGUGGAAGAGGAUUGGAUAAUGGGGGUGGUUUCUCAUGGUUUAACACCAUCCCCCUGGGUGCUGUUCUCAUGACAGUGAGUGAGUUAUUGUGAGAUCUGAUUGUUUAAAAGUGUGUGCCACCUCCUCCCACUUUCCUCCUGCUCCAGCCAUGUAAGACAGGCUUGCCUCCCCUUCACCUUUUGUCAUGAUUGUAAGUGUUCUGAGGCCUCCCCAGCCAUGCUUCCUGUACAGCCUGCAGAACUGUGAGCCAAUUAAACCUCUUUUCUCUAUAUAUUACCCAGUCUCGGGUAUUUCUUUAUAGCAGUGCAAGAAUAGACUAAUACAGGGUUCAAUUCAGCAAGAGGAUAUAACAAAUAUAAAUAUAUAUGCACUCAACACUGCAGCACCCAGAUAUAUAAAGCAAAUACGAUUAGAGCUAAAGAGAGAGAGUGACCCCAAUACAAUAAUAGCUGGAGACUUCAACACCACAUUUUCAGCACUGGACAGAUCUUCCAGACAGAAAAUAAAAAAGAAACAUCAGACUUAAUCUGCACUGUAGAUCAAAUGGAUCUAAUACAUACUUGCAGAACAUUUUAUCCAAUGGCUGCAGAAUACACAUUCUUUUUUAGCACAUGUAUCAUUCUCAAGGAUAGACCAUAUGUUAGGUCACAAGUCUUAAAACAUUAAAAAAGUUGAAUACCAUCAAGCAUCUUCUCUGACCACAGUGGAAUACAACUAGAAACUAAUAACAAGAGGAAUUUUUGAAACUACAAAUACAUGAAAAUUAAACAAUAUGCUCCUGAAUGACCAUUGAGUCAAUGAAGAAAUUAAGAAGGAAAUUGAACAAUUUCUUGAAACAAAUGAUAAAGGAAACACAACAUACCAAAACCUAUGGGAUACGGCAAAAGCAGUACUAAGAGGCAAAUUGAUAGCUAUAAGUGCCUACAUGAAAAAAGAGGAAAAACUUCAAAUAAGCAAUUUAACAAUGAACCUUAACCAGAAAAGCAAGAGCAAAACAAACACAAAAUUAGAAGAAAACAAAUAAUAAAAAUUAGAGCAUAAAUAAAUAAAAUUGAAAUAAAAAUCAAUGCAAAAGAACAAUGAAACAAAAAGUUGCUUUUUUUCAAAAGUUAAACAAAACUGACAAGCCUUUAGCAAGACUGAGAAAAAAGAGACAAGAUACAAAUCAGAAAUGAAAAAGACAUUACAACUGACACUGCAGAAAUUCAAAGGAUCAUUAGGGGCUACUAUGAGCAACUCUAUGCCAAUAAAUUGGAAAAUCUAGAAGAAAUUGACAAUUCCUAGACACAUACAACCUACUGAGACUGGACCAGGAAGAAAUCCAAAACCUGAACAGACUAAUAACAAGUAACAAGGUUGAAGCCAUAAUAAAAAGUCUCCCACUAAAGAAAACCAAGGACCCGAUGGCUUCACUGUUGAAUUCUACCAAACAUUUAAAGAAGAACUAAUACCAAUCCCACUCAAGCUAUUGAAAAAUAGAGGAGGAGAGAAUAUUUCCAAAGUCAUUCUAGGAGACCAGUAUCACCCUGAUACCAAAACCAGACAAAGACACAUCAAAAAAAGAAAACUGCUGGCCAAUUUCUCUGAUGAAUAUUGAUGCCAGAAUCCUCAGCAAAAUAUUAGCAAACUAAAUUCAACAAUACAUUAAAAAGAUCAUUCAUCAGGGUCGGGUGCAGUGGCUUAAGCCUCUAAUCCCAGCACUUUGGGAGGCCGAGGUGGGCAGAUCACCUGAGGUCAGGAGUUCAAGACCAGCCUGACCAACAUGGUGAAACCUCGUCUCUACUGAAAAUACAAAAUUAGCCGAGUGUGGUGGUGCAUGCCUGUAAUCCCAGCUACUCAGGAGACUGAGGCAGGAGAAUCACUUGAACCCAGGAGGUGGAGGUUGCAGUGAGCUGAGAUUGUGGCACUGCACUCCAGCCUUGGUGACAGAGUGAGACUCCAUUAAAAAAAAAAUCAUUUAUCAUGACCAAGUGGGAUUUAUCCCUGGAAUGCAAGGAUGGUUCAACACAUGCAAAUCAAUCAAUGUAAUACAUCAUAUCAAAAAGAAUGAUUAAAACCAUAUGAUUAUUUCUAUUGAUGCUGAAAAAGUAGUUUAUAAAAUCCAACAUCCCUUCAUGAUAAAAACCCUCAAAAAACUGUAUAAAAGAAAUAUACCUCAACGUAAUAGCCAGAUAUGACAGACCCACAGCUAGUAUCAUACUGAAUGGGGAAAAAGUGAAAGACUUUCCUAUAAGAUCUGGAACACAACAGGGAUGUUCACUGUCACCACUGUUAUUCAACAAAGUACUGGAUGUUCUAGCUAGAGCGAUCAGACAAGAGAAGAUAUAAAGGCCAUCCAAACUGGAAAGGGAGAAGUUAAAUUACCCUAGUUUGCAGAUGAUAUGAACUUAUAUUUGGAAAAAACCUAAAGGCUCCACAGGAAAACUAUUAGAAUCAAUAAAUUCAGUAAAGUUGCAGGACACAAAAUCAACAUAUAAAAACCAGUAGCAUUUCUAUAUGUCAACAGUGAACAAUUUGAAAAAUUUUAAAUUUAAGAAGGUAAUUUCAUUUACAAUAGCCACACAUAAAAUUAAAUACCUAGGAAUUAACCAAAAAUGUGCAAGAUAUCUAUGAGGAGAAUUAUAAAACAUUGAUGAAAGAAAUUGAAGAGGACACAAAAAAAAUGGAAAAAAUUCCAUCUUUAUGGAUUGGAAGAAUCAAUAUUGUUAAAAUGUCCAUACUACCCAAAGCAAUCUACAGAUUUAAUGCAAUCCCUAUCAAAAUACCAAUAAUAGUCUUCAGAGAAAUAGAAAAAAAAAUCCCAAAAUUUAUAUGAAAACACAGAAUGCCCAGAAUAGCCAAAAUUAUAUUAAGCAAAAAGAUCAAAACUGGAGGAAUCACAUUACCUGACUUCAAAUUAUGCUACAGAGCUAUAAUCACCAAAACAGCAUGGUACUGACAUAAAAACAGACACAUAGUCCAACAGAACAGAAUAGAGAACCUAGAAACAAAUCCACACACUCACAGGGAACUCAUUUUUGACAGAGUUGCCAAGUACUUAUACUGGAGAAAAGAAAAGACAGUCUCUUCAAUGAAAUGGUGCUGGGAAAACUGGAUAUCCAUAUGCAGAAGAAUGAAACUAGACCCCUACCUCUCACUGUAGACAAAAGUCAAAUCAAGGCUAGGCAUGGUGGCUUACACCUGUAAUCUCAGCACUUUGGGAGGCUGAGGCAGGCGUAUCACGAGGUGAAGAGAUUGAGACCAUCCUGACCAACAUGGUGAAACUCACCCCCCCCCACCCACUAAAAAUACAAAAAUUAGCUGGGCGUGAUGGCAUGUGCCUGCAGUCCUAGCUACUCAGGAGGCUGGGGCAGGAGAAUCGCUUGAACCCAGGAGGUGGAGGUUGCAGUGAGCUGAGAUUGUGCCACUGCACUCCAGCCUGGCGACAGAGCAAGACUCCAUCUCAAAAAAUAAAAAAUAAAUUCAAAAUGUAAUAAAGACUUAAAUCUAAGACCUCAAACAUGAAACUACUAUAAGAAAACAUUGGGGAAAACCUCCAGGACAGUAGUCUGGCCAAAAAUUUCUUGAGCAAUACCCCACAAGCACAGGCAACCAAAAUAAAACUGGACAAAUAGUAUCACAUCAAGUUUAAAAGCUUCUACAAAGCAAAGGAUACAAUCAAUAAAGAGACAACCCACAGAAUGGGAGAAAAUAUUUGCAAACUACCCAUCUGACAAAGAAAUAAUAACCAGAGUAUAUAAGAAGCUCAAACAACUCUAUAGUAAAAAAAAAAAAAAAAAAAAUUCUAAAAGUCUAAGUAAAAAAAUGGGCAAAAGAUUUGAAUAGACAUUUCUCAAAAGAAGACAUACAGGCCAUGCGUGGUGGCUCAUGCCUGUAAUCCCAGCACUUUGGGAGGCCCAGGCGGGUGGAUCACUUGAGGUCAGGAGUUCGAGACCAGCCUGACCAACAUUGUGAAACUCCGUCUCUACUAAAAAUACAAAAAUAAGCCAGGCAUGGUGGCGCACACCUGUAAUCCCAGCUACUCAGGAGGCUGAGGCAGGAGAAUCGCUUAAACCUGGGAGACAGAGGUUGCAGUAAGCCGAGAUCACACCACUGCACUCCAGCCUGGGCAACAAAGUGAGACUCCGUCUCACAAAAAAAAAAAAAAAAAAAAAAAAAAAAGAAAAGAAAAAGGAAGAAGACAUACAAAGCCAGGUACAGUGGCUUAUGCCUCUAAUCCUAGCACUUUAGGAGGCCAAGGCAGAUGGAAUUGAGCCCAGAAGUUUGAGACCAGACUGAGCAAUAUGGUCAAACCCCAAUUCUGCAAAAUACAAAAAUAAAAAAUAGCUGGGAGUGGUGGUGCACACCUGUAGUCCCAGCUACUUAGGAAGCUGAGAUGGGAGGAUCACUUGAGCCUGCAGUGAAUCAUAAUUGCACCAAUGCACUCCAGCCUGGGCGACAGAGUGAGAGACAUUGUCUCAAAAAAAAGAAAAAGAAAAAAAAGAAAGGACAUAAAAAUGACAAACAGGCAUAUGAAAAGGUGCUGAUGAUUAUUGAUCCUCAGAGAAAUGCAAAUCAAAACUGCAAUGAGAUAUAAUCUCACCCCAGUUAAAAUGGCUUAUAUCCAAAAGACAGGCAAUAACAAAUGCUGGUGAGGAUGUGGAUAAAAGGGAACCCUCGUACACUGUUGAUGGGAAUGUAAAUUAGUACAACCACUAUGGAUAACAGUUUAGAGGUUCCUCAGAAAACUAAAAAUUGAGUUGCGAUAUGAUGCAACAAUCCUACUGCUGGGUAUAUACCCCACAAAAGACAAAACCAGCGUUUUGCAUGGUGGCUCACACCUGUAAUCCCAGCACUAUGGGAGGCCGAGGAGGGCAGAUCACUUGAGCCCAGAAGUUCAAGACCAGCCCGAGCAACAUGGCAAAACCUGAUUUCUACAAAAUACAAAAAAAAAAUUAGGCAGUUGUAGUGGUUCACACCUAUAGUCCUAGCUACUGUGGAGGCUGAGGUAGGAUCACUUGAACCUAGGAGGUGGAGGUUGCAGUGAGCCAAGAUCAUGCCACUGCACUCCAGCCUGGGUGACAAAGUGUGACCCUGUCUCAAAAAAGAAAAUCAGUAUAUGGAAGAGGUAUCUGCACUCCUAUGUUUUUUACAACACUGUUUACAAUAGCUAAGAUUUGGAAGCAACCUAAAUGUCUAACAGCAGAUGAAUGGAUAAGGAAAAUUUGGUAUGUAUACACAAUGAAGUACUAUUCAGCCAUAAAAAGGAAUGAGAUCCAGUCAUUUGCAACAGCAUGGAUGGAAGUGGAGAUCAUUAUGUUAAAUGAAAUAAGCCAGGCACAGAAAGGCAAACAUGGCAUGUUCUCACUUAUUUGUGGGACCUAAAUUCAAAACAAUUGAACUAAUGGACAUAAAGAGUAGAAGAAUGGUUACCAGAGGCUAGGAAUGGUAGUGGGGGGCUGAAGGGAAGGUGGGGAUGUUUAAUCGGUAAAAAAAAAUUUAGAAGAAUAAGACCUACUAUUUGAUAGCACAAUAGGGGGACUAUAGUCAAUAAUGCACAUUUAAAAAUAGUGUAAUUGAAUGGUUUGUAACUCAAAGGAUAAAUGCUUGAGGGAAUGGAUACCCCAUUCUCCAUGAUGUGCUUAUUUCACAUUGCAUACCUGUAUCAAAACAUCUCAUGUACCCCAUAAAUAUAUGCAGCUAUUAUGUACCCAC
rnacentral:lncRNA from 1 species